UGGGGAAUAUUGCACAAUGGGCGCAAGCCUGAUGCAGCCAUGCCGCGUGUAUGAAGAAGGCCUUCGGGUUGUAAAGUACUUUCAGCGAGGAGGAAGGCAUUAAGGUUAAUAACCUUGGUGAUUGACGUUACUCGCAGAAGAAGCACCGGCUAACUCCGUGCCAGCAGCCGCGGUAAUACGGAGGGGGCAAGCGUUAAUCGGAAUUACUGGGCGUAAAGCGCACGCAGGCGGUCUGUCAAGUCGGAUGUGAAAUCCCCGGGCUCAACCUGGGAACUGCAUUCGAAACUGGCAGGCUAGAGUCUUGUAGAGGGGGGUAGAAUUCCAGGUGUAGCGGUGAAAUGCGUAGAGAUCUGGAGGAAUACCGGUGGCGAAGGCGGCCCCCUGGACAAAGACUGACGCUCAGGUGCGAAAGCGUGGGGAGCAAACA
rnacentral:rRNA from 1 species